AUACUCUGGUUUCUCUUCAGAUCGUAUAAAUCUUUCACCUUUUACUAAAGAUUUCCAUGAAGUUCUGGUUGAAUUCUAAGCCUAAUUUACCUGGCCCUGGGCUUCAUUUAGCUUGG